GGUAAUGUGUUUCAAUGGUAGAAUGUUUGCCUAGCAUGCAUGAGGUCCUGGGUUUGAUUCCCAGAACUAAUA
rnacentral:tRNA from 1 species